rnacentral:lncRNA from 1 species
CCACAACCCACAGCGCCCACAGCCGUCACAGCCUGAGGCCUCGGGUUCCCCUGGAGAGCAAGUGCUCUUCCUCCAAAGUGCCUUCCAGCUUUUCCAAGCCCUCAUCCCCCCUCCACAUUUCUGCUCCCCACUCCCCUGGAGCAGGAAUCCUUCCCCAGCUCAGGAAUGGUCCCAGCUCAGCAGACCCUUCUUCCUGGGAAUGCACUGCUCUGCCCUUGCCACCCUGUGUCCCCGGGGUCUCCUCACUUCGACCCCAGCGCUCUGCCCAGGGCCAGACUGGGAGGAGAGCUCAGCCCACUUCGGAAUGACUCCAGUCGCACGGGGAUGGAUGCGAGCGUCGAGCGCCAUGCCUGGAGCCCCAUCUGGCCGUGCUCCUCUGCUGCAAGGGACCAGCAACGCCCGGCACUGACCCGGCCUCGCGCCCUCCCUCUCCUCCCCAGCCCCGGGGCCUGACCGCACAGGUCUGGGCGGGCUCGGACCUUGGGCCUGGGGGCGAGAGGCAGGGGCUGCGUGGGUCCCGGGGGGCCCUUGGACGCCCCUCCGCGUUGGUCCCGGAUCAGCGAACCCCUCUGCCCCUGCCGCCCCGGGUCCCCGAGGUCUCCCUGCUGAGACCCCAGCGCUCUGCCCAAGGCUGGGCUGGGAGGAGAGCUCAGCCCACUUCGGAGUGACCGGAGGCGCGCCGGGAUGGGUGGGGACGGUUGUGGAGGAAGCGCUGGUGACAGUUGCCACGCGGAGGGCUCGUUGGUCUAGGGGUGUGAUUCUCUCUGGGUGCGCUGCCCCGGCGGGACACCUGUUUCCUCCGGCUGCUCCGAUUGAGAUGUGCUGCUUUAAACGUAAAAUACACGUCGGAUCUUGAAGACUCGUUGCAAGAAAAAAUCAGCUUGUCAAUCUACACAGAAGCAGCGAUCGGGAUUUUGGCUGGGAUAGCGUGGAUUCUGCAGCAUGGAUUCUGCGGAUCAGUUUGGGGUGAUUUGACGUCGUUACAGUAUUGGAUCUUCCAACCCAUGAGCAUGAUGUAUCCAUUUAUGAAGGUCUUCUUUAACUUAUCGCCAUAGUGUUUUAUAUUUUUCUGAGAUAGAUUUUGCACAUCUUUCAUCAGCAUUUUUGCUAAGUGUUUGAUGUUGUUGAUGCUAUUGUAAAUUGUAUCGUUUUGAAUAUAAUUUUCUAUUUUAUGCAGAUAUGUAAAAAUACAGUAAGUUUUUGCAUAUUAAUCUUGGAUUCAGUGACAUUGUGGAGCUCACAUAUUAUUUCUAAUCUAUAGAAUUUUCUACAUGUUCCAGCAUGUCAUCUGUGAAUAAUGGCAGUAUUAUUUAUAUCCAAUUCUUAUCUAUACUUUUUGAUUUUCUUGCCUUAUUGCACUAAGACCUCCAAUAAAGUGUUAA